UAAGACGAAGGGGGCUAGCGUUGUUCGGAAUUACUGGGCGUAAAGAGCGCGUAGGCGGUUUGAUAAGUCGGGAGUGAAAGCCUGGGGCUCAACCUCAGAACUGCUUCCGAAACUAUCUGGCUAGAGUUUGGUAGGGGGUGAUAGAAUUCCUAGUGUAGAGGUGAAAUUCUUAGAUAUUAGGAGGAAUACCGGUGGCGAAGGCGAUCACCUGGGCCAUAACUGACGCUGAGGCGCGAAAGCGUGGGGAGCAAACAGG
rnacentral:rRNA from 1 species